rnacentral:misc_RNA from 1 species
AAGAGACGUUGCCCUUCGGGGUAUACCUCCCACCCUUGUUUAUUAUACCUUUGUUGCUUUGGCGGGCCCGUCCUCGGACCACCGGCUUCUGCUGGUCAGUGCCCGCCAGAGGACCUAAAACUCUGUUUGUUAAUAUUGUCUGAGUACUAUAUAAUAGUUA